AUGACUGUAAGUUCUUGUACCACGGGUCGAUCUACAGGAAUUGAGAUGGCAGACACACGCGCCAAAGUGCAAAUCACAGUGGAUCGUCUGGAGAGUGAGGUGUCUGUACUGCGGACGGAGUUAGCAGAUCUCAAGGAACUUAAGAAGGAAGUAACUCAGAUCCGUGCUGAAAUGGUUACCAUGCCACGGGUUGAAGCCAAACUGACGGAUAUGAAUGCUGAAAUUCAGAAAACUCUGCAACUCAUCUUGCAGAACAUGUCCUUACAAAGUCAGAAAACAGAAGUGGUCACUCCUAGUGCACAGCCUCAAGGGAACACUAGCCUUUCAGUUCUUGGAGCACCACCUGUGAUUACUAUUACAGAUCCCACUGAUGUGUCACUCCCUCCUGUUACUAGAAACUUGGAGCAGGAAUUUACCAUCCAAGGUUCUGUGCCAAUGCGUAGCCUACAGGGAAUUACCUCAGCAUUACCAAAUGCCAGCCUUUUUACGGAGAGCACUAGAGUCAACAUUGACAAGCAGUCAACAAUUCCUAUGCAAAACCAAUUCAGACUAAAUCCUGCAAGCACAAGUGUAGCAGUACAGGCUCAUACACUGGGGUUUUCAGGGAAUAGUGGGUACUUUGCCCCAAUUAGUGCUCCAUUAUAUACUCCUCCUCACACUUAUAAUCCUGUUACUGGGCAAUAUAUUAACAUUUCCACGACUGGCUCUGCAGUACCACCAGUGUACCAAGCAGUGGGAAAUUUAUAUGAUGCCCAAAGAAAUCAGUAUGCCACACAACUAGGAGGUCCAUCUUACUUUGCAGAAGCAGUGUUGAAGGGCCCAAGGCUGGAAAUUCCACUGUUUAAUGGAGAAGAUCCUAUAGGUUGGCUCAUAGCCUGUGAGAAAUUCUUUGAUAUGUCAGGAACCCCAUAUGAUCAAUGGGUAAACCUAGCAACAGGUCACCUACAAGGAAGAGCUUCUAAUUGGCUGAAAAAUAUAUGUGUGCCCUGGCAAAUGGUAACAUGGCAGCAAUUCUGCCAAAUGAUCGCUGACACAUUCUCGGAAGCCAAUGUGCAUGAAGCAGUGGAAUUACUAAAAAACAUUCAACAGACAAAUACAGUAGCUCAAUAUAUAGAUAAUUUUGAGCAGUGUGUAGCUUUGGUCAAAAGAGAUCAUCCUUGUUUGCAAGAGAAUUUUCUGCUCAGCUGUUUCAUUGGUGGACUUAGAUCUGAUAUUAAACAUGAGGUGUGUGGUCAAAAACCUACAGGCAUUAUUUCAGCUUAUUGGUAUGCCAAAGUGUAUGAAAAAGCAGCAGCAGCCAGAAAAGUCCAGUCACACACAUCCUACAAACCAAGGGGAUAUCAAUCAAAUUACAAACAGUCAACUGCUCCUCUACAGGUACAAGUACCAGCACAGGAAAAAUAUACUGUGCCAUUUCGUAAGGAUGCAAGGGCUUGUUGGUAUUGCAGAGAACCUUGGUCAAGACAGCAUAAAUGCAAAAUUGGGAAGGCACUACACAUAUUACAAGAGUUGGAUGAUGAAGAGGACAGUGAUAGUGCAGAAGAAUGUCAGGCACAAGAACAGAUCUACCAUACUGCUCCAAAUACACCUGACAAGGAAAAAACAAAUGACAACACAAUAGAGAAAACUACACAAGCAAUGCAUAUCUCUACACAUGCUGCAGAAGGCACUUCAGGAGCAAACACAUUCUCCUUAAUCAUAGAGAUUGCAGGCAAAAGGGCUACAACUCUGUUUGACAGUGGAUCUCCGGACACAUUUAUGAGCAAAGCAUUUGCAAUAAAAAGUAACUGCCAUCAACAACCAAUACUGCCCAGGAAAGUAACUGUAGCAGGUGGGGGCAAGUUACUGUCCAUGUCUCAAGUACCUGUCAUGGAUUUUAAGGUACAAGGUCAUACAUUCUGCAGCAAAUUCAAGGUACUAGACUUAGUAGCCUAUGAUAUCAUCUUAGGAGCUGAUUGGAUAUAUCAGUACAGUCCUAUUUGUCUGGAUUUGGUGGAAAGGUUGUUGGUACUCACUAAGAAUGGUCAACCAAUAACACUGUUUGAUCAUACCAUCCCCAAGAAAAGGUGUCUGCUGUCAGCAGCCAAAAUGGAGAAGUUACUGCAGAAGGGAGUCAUGGGUUAUAUUCUCAAAGUGCAAGAAGUGGAAACAGAAAAUAACAAAGUUCCUACUCCUCCUCCUACAGCUUUACAACCUCUUCUUCAGAAGUUUGCUGACAUUUUUGAAGAAUCUCAGAAACUACCUCCCAAAAGAAGCUGUGAUCACAGAAUUAUCUUGCAAGAAGGAGCUAAACCACCAAAUUUAAGACCUUAUAGAGUUCCUCAUUAUCAGAAAGCUGCUAUGGAAGAGAUCAUCAAACAACUCAUUAAAAAGGGAGAAAUACAAGAAAGUUUCAGCCCUUUUUCCUCACCAGCUAUUAUGGUCAGAAAAAAAGAUGGAGGAUGGAGACUCUGUGUGGAUUACAGAGAACUCAAUGCACUGACUAUUAAAAACAAGUUUCCAAUGCCUAUCAUUGAAGACUUGCUGGAUGAGCUGUAUGGAGCCAAAGUUUUCUCCAAGCUUGAUUUGAGGUCUGGAUACCACCAAAUCAGAAUGGCCCCUGAAGAUAUUCCUAAAACAGCAUUUAGAACACAUAUGGGCCACUAUGAGUUCACUGUAGUGCCUUUUGGGUUAUCUUGUGGUCCUGGCACAUUUCAGGGUCUGAUGAACAGUGUAUGUGAUGAAAUCAAUGAACCUGAGCAGGAGAAAUUCAUUUUAGUUUUCUUCGAUGAUAUACUCAUUUUCAGCAAAUCUUUAGAGGAGCAUUAUAGCCACUUAGAAAGGACAUUUGCAACAUUGAGAAAGCAUGAACUGUAUGUUAAACUGACAAAGUGCACAUUUGCCACAGAACAAGUAUCUUAUCUGGGUCACCUUAUUUCUGCCCAAGGAGUGUCAACUGAUCCAGAGAAGAUAAAAGCAGUCCAGGAGUGGCCAGAGCCUGAGAAUACAACCAAGUUAAGGGGAUUCUUGGGAUUAACAGGUUACUAUGGAAGGUUUGUCAAAGAUUAUGGAAAAAUUUGUUGA
rnacentral:rRNA from 1 species